ensembl:lncRNA
GGCAGAGAGGGAAGGUCGGGGGAGCGGAUAGGCCGCGAGGUAAGAGGCGGAACUCCAAUGGUGCAUCGUCUUCCGGAUUCGAACCAUCUUACGACUUUAAACAAUGGUGCUACUGUGCGACACAGCUUAAAGAAAAAAACAGAAAAUUAAAAAAAAAAAAAAAAGACCCAAAUAAAUCUUACAUUUAUUCUUUGUUUGUCUUAAGAAGUACCUCAAAAUGAAAACAAGAGAAAUAUCCACUUAAAGGUGCAAUGAUGGAGGUGUGACAACAUUUCUUUCAUUCUUUCCCUUCCUUCGCGUUUCCUUUCCUCUUUAAAAAAAAAUAAUCACUUUUGAAAUUGUGAACCGUUUCUAGGCAGAAGAUCGCUUUUCUUUUCUGGUUUUUUUUAGUUUUUUUUUUUUUUUUAGCCUUAUUGAUUAGGAGUGGAUUACCAAAUCGGCACUUUGACUUCGGAACAUCCAAGAUGAGAGACGCACUGACGACGAGCUUUUCCUUAGUGAGGCGGACUUUUCUUUUUUGUUGUUGUUUCUACCAGCUCUUCAUUCACUCGCUCCUCCUCUCUCUUCCUCCGUCGUGUUUUCUGUGGUUCGGCGUUUGGUGGUAGUGACCGUGCUGUAGCCCCGCCUCCUCGCCACCGGCCCCAACGCCUUCUUUCUCUUUUUGUAAGUAAUAAAAUGUGUAUAUUGUGUAAAACACCUUCUCGUUCUUAGUGUAGACGGGCCUGAAUCGGUACCAGCUGUAUGUUAUAAGACACAUUUACAGGUUGUUGUUUUUUUGCUUACACACAAACAAACACUCACGCUCUCUCACACACACACACAUUAACGUCAACGCUCACUGACACACAUCCACUCAGAUAUUGUACAAAGUGAGGCUUUUAUGAAUGAAACAGUAUUUUAUAUAUAAUAAAUAUAUAUUUGAAAAAGAGGAUACAAAGGUAUAUGAACUUUAUUCGGCUGUGGGGAGAUUUGUUCGCUGUUUUUCAAACACAAAAGUCGGGCACUUCACUGAAUUCUAGAGCGCAGACGGGGCCACUUUCCACUUCCCAACACAACAGUCCUGUGUUAUAUUAACGACGCCAACCGCCUUUUGUACUCAAUUUGUAGAAUGUUGAACUGAAAUUAAGGGGAUUUUUAGAAUGUGUAAUGAUUGGGGGUCUUUACAGAUAAGAAGAAAAAAAAAGAUUUUAAUUGAAUCUUGGCCCCUUGAUUAGAAAACCUUUUUGUUUAGUGUGUUGGGCCCGUUUUUCACCUGAAAACCUUCAAAUCCACUUUGGCUCGGCAUUAAAUCCACGAUGGGUCGUGUUGUUCACGCUCGACCGCGUCGGAACGCAAGUGAAAGAAUCGGUGCUUUUAAACCAGCUCCUCUGUACGCAAAGUCUAAACUGCUUUUAUCAAUUCUAAUGACGUCAACCGGGGUGCGAUUAAAAAAAAGUGUAUUUGUUUUCUUUUGUUUAUUUUACAUGUUAUGUUAUCCAGAAGUUGUUAUAAACUUUUAAGACUGAAAUAAAUGCUAUGUCCAAAGUGAA